rnacentral:lncRNA from 1 species
UCUGUGUCUACAGUGACCAUCACUCCAAGUUUGGAUACCACAGUCAAUAAAACUGGCAUGAUGAUUUAUGAAAGUAAAUGGAGGCUACAAAGAAAGGAGUGAUAACGUGAUAUGUACACUUUAAUAGCCACCGUCUGUACCCUGAUGGUGAAGUCAAGAGCACAGGACAGUCCUUGGCCAAAGUUAUAUACGUGGAGUCACCAUUGGCUGACCUCAGCAGAAGCCACGAGGACGAGAAAGCCUGGGUAAUGCAGGUCAUAAAGAGAUGGGCAGAAGGGAGAUCUAGAAACGCAAAUUAAAAAUAACUAGCAAACACAUGCUAUUCUCUAACUGUAAUGCCCUUCCCUAUUUUUUAUCUGUCAAAAUCCUGAUCACUCAAUUCAUGAGGAACAUUCUCUGUGGAAUUACAGUGCUUCCCAACAAAGAGAACUGGUCUUUUCUCUUAUUUGA